UACGAAGGGGGCUAGCGUUGCUCGGAAUCACUGGGCGUAAAGCGCACGUAGGCGGAUUGUUAAGUCAGGGGUGAAAUCCUGGAGCUCAACUCCAGAACUGCCUUUGAUACUGGCGAUCUUGAGUCCGGGAGAGGUGAGUGGAACUCCGAGUGUAGAGGUGAAAUCCGUAGAUAUUCGGAAGAACACCCGUGGCGAAGGCGGCCCUCUGGGACGGUACUGACGCUGAGACGCGAAAGCGUGGGGAGCGAACAGG
rnacentral:rRNA from 1 species